rnacentral:lncRNA from 1 species
AAGUAAUAAAAAACAAUAAAUAUGUAAAUGAAAAUGUGCACGUGAGUGGGCAAGGUACGGUAUGUGAAAUGAUAAUAUGAAGUGCAUGUGUGCAAGUGAUAAUAAAAGUGUUCGUGUGCAAGUGAAGAAACAUAAAGGUGCACGUGUGCAAAUGGGAGGAAAAGUGAAAGUGUAAUGAUAGAGUGGAUUUAGAAGGCAUGAGCCUAGGGAAUGCAUGCAUAUUGGGUACGGGGAGACCUAAAUCAUGACUCAAUUUACCCUUUUAUAGAGGGAAUACAAGCGUGCUAAGGCUUAGAAAAAGCCACACUCGUCUAUAUCCCAUAUUUAAGGGGACUCUUCAAGCAAAUGGACCCUAUAACUAGCAUGAAAUGCAAAAAUCCUAAAAUGGAGGGAAAAGGGGUUCGAGGGGCAUGCAAAGUGAUAAAACUAAGAAAAAUGCAUGACAUGUAAUGAUCACGCAAAUAUGUACUAACGAAGGGAAAUCCCUAAGGGUCUAGCGUUGGACUAGCCCAUUCUAUGAAUUCCGACUAGCGUUGGACUAGUGGAAACGUACAUUCAUCCAUCACAUUCAUUCAGGCUAUGGAAAGCGAGUAGACAUGCCAAACACUCAUAAACACAUAGCACAUAACAUUUAGCAUGCUCGACUAGAUGCAAGGCCCUAACAAAGCAAAUUAACACUUAACACGUAGGCAUGCCACCAAACUAAUGAACCUAUUACAUUCACUAACUAAAACAAAAGGGGAAAGGGAAAAUGGACCAAAUUGCUUGCCACAGCCCUAUCUAUUACAAGCCAAGAGGUGUACACAUACCCCAUUAAAAGAAUAACUUAAUGAAAACAAAAAGUAAAUGACAUAAGUAAAAGGAAUUAAAGAAAAGCUAGGAAAGCAAAGUAGACAUGUAUUUCUCACGUAGCACGUUGGUUCACAUAGGAGACACAAAAGGGAUAAA